ensembl:lncRNA ID2-AS1 ID2 antisense RNA 1
AAAAGCCGGGAGAGGGAGAAGAAAGAAAUCUUCCUUUUGCAAAAGGAGGCAUAAUGUGGCUUAGAGAACGGCCCCCCUCUCCGCCCUGGGGGAGCCGGGAGGAUGUGCAGCCCCAGUCCUCCUGCUCGGCGGAGCCUCGCGCGCGCAGAGCCUAGCGCGAUUCGCGCCCUCAUUACUACUACAAAGCGCGGGCCAGACCAAUCCCCUUUCUAAUGCACCAUUUUCGACUGAGAACAUCAAGAGGCCAGAAACUUCCAAGUCAGCUUGCAGACGCAGACGCCUCCUGGGGUCCUGGCUUUAAGAACCAGAUGCCAACACUCCCGGACAGUUUAUGGCAUCCGGAUCCCUCAAGGGUGCUCAUCUGCAGUUGAGAGUGUUAGUAGCAAUUAUUUAUCUGUCCUGGAGAGGAGUUCCUGAACAUAAAUGUCCUCUGCUGGCCCUAAAGCUGGGGGCGGAGGCUGUGUGUUGUGGGGUGGGGGUUGGGGGGCCGAAUGUUCCCGGUCCUGUUAUCUGGUUUAGCAGCAUUUGUUGUGGUUUUCGAGGAAACGGCAUUUGGAUUACAUAAGGAUUCAAGUU